rnacentral:rRNA from 1 species
CCUACGGGAGGCAGCAGUCGAGAAUCAUUCACAAUGGGGGAAACCCUGAUGGUGCGACGCCGCGUGGGGGAAUGAAGGUCUUCGGAUUUUAAACCCUUGUCAUGUGGGAGCAAAUUAAAAAGAUAGUACCACAAGAGGAAGAGACGGCCAACUCUGUGCCAGCAGCCGCGGUAAUACAGAGGUCUCAAGCGUUGUUCGGAAUCACUGGGCGUAAAGCGUGCGUAGGCUGUUUCGUAAGUCGUGUGUGAAAGGCGCGGGCUCAACCCGCGGACGGCACAUGAUACUGCGAGACUAGAGUAAUGGAGGGGGAACCGGAAUUCGCGGUGUAGCAGUGAAAUGCGUAGAUAUCGGGAGGAACACUCGUGGCGAAGGCGGGUUCCUGGACAUUAACUGACGCUGAGGCACGAAGGCCAGGGGAGCGAAAGGGAUUAGAUACCCCUGUAGUC